rnacentral:rRNA from 1 species
AGCGAACGCUGGCGGCAGGCUUAACACAUGCAAGUCGAACGGGCGUAGCAAUACGUCAGUGGCAGACGGGUGAGUAACGCGUGGGAACGUACCUUUUGGUUCGGAACAACCCAGGGAAACUUGGGCUAAUACCGAAUGUGCCCUAACGGGGAAAGAUUUAUCGCCAAAGGAUUAGCCCGCGUAGGAUUAGCUAGUUGGUGAGGUAAUGGCUCACCAAGGCUCCGAUCCUUAGCUGUUCUGAGAGGAAGAUCAGCCACACUGGGACUGAGACACGGCCCAGACUCCUACGGGAGGCAGCAGUU